rnacentral:rRNA from 1 species
UGCUGUUAGAAAGCUCGUAGUUGGAUCAAGAGCUGGACAGUGCAAGGUGGCCCCUCGCGGCAGUCAGCUACGGUUGGUUGUCGCGUUGCGGAUCAACCCCUUGCGCUGAACUGUCCACUCUAACAGACCGGAACGGUUCCCUGCGAGUAGACUCCUUAAUUGGGGUUGAAAGCGCCUCGCAUAAACCAUAUGCCUACGGGACGCCGGUCAAUGUUACUGUGAACAAACCAGCGUGUCCAAAACAGGCUACUGCCUGAAUGUUCGAGCAUGGAAUAACAAGGGAUCGGUUCUCUCGGUUCUUUUUGUUGGUUUUUAACCCGAGAAGGAGAAAUUCAGGCCACGGUGUCUGAGUUGGGUUCCCCUUCACCUCGUGAAG